CAGCACCUCAAGUGGUCAGGAUGAUUAUUGGGCCUAAAGCAUCCGUAGCCGGCGCUGUAAGUUUUCGGUUAAAUCUGUACGCUCAACGUACAGGCUGCCGGGAAUACUGCCGCGCUAGGGAGUGGGAGAGGUAGACGGUACUCGGUAGGAAGGGGUAAAAUCCUUUGAUCUAUUGAUGACCACCUGUGGCGAAGGCGGUCUACCAGAACACGUCCGACGGUGAGGGAUGAAAGCUGGGGGAGCAAACCGGAUUAGAGACCCGAGUAGUCC
rnacentral:rRNA from 1 species